rnacentral:lncRNA from 1 species
UUUGCGUCUCCUUAUAUCUAUAAAAAGGCCAUAUAAAAGGGAUUAUAUAGAGAAAUAAAGAGAGAGGGAAUUUCAUCGUAAAAUGACUAUGCCUUUGUUCAACAUCUUGAGCUGUUUUUCAGAGCAAUCCGAGAGGGGCAGUCGAUAUAUAUGUGAUGGCGAUGUGUGUUAUCUAAGCAAUCCAAAGGCAACGGGCGCCAAGAAAAAAAACGAGCGAAAGCGAAGCGUUCGGAUUUCAUUUUCGCGGCUUUCAGCAAGAAAUGAUUAAUUUGAUGAUCUUCUAAAUUUUCUUGUCAAUAAGGGCUUAGUUGAAUAAGCCCUUAGUACAAACUGUUGAUAGAAUCUUAUGGAUAAUCUCUAGAGCAAAAAUCAGGGUCAGAAGGUGCAGUGGUAACACUAAUCCUUUGUAUGGUGAUUGCUGCAGUUGAUGUUGGGAUAUAAGAAAUUUAAUCUUUCAGAAUUAUUCUUUUUAUAUGCAUUUAUAUUUACUUUGUGUAGGCUAUAAAAAGUAUAGAUUAUCUAAUAUAAAAAGAGGAUUUUAUUCAAGUGGUAAAAGCAAAGGUUUACUAGAUCAAUGAUCCAAGUUCGAGUUUCAUUUAAAAGAAGGGUGAAAUUCGAAAAGAAAAGAAGAAAAAAAGAGAUGAGAGAUUGAUAGAUUAAUUGAUAUUUUUGUUGAAAAAAGUUAACCUUUCGAAGGAGGACAUUGUCUUCGUUCUUUCAUGAAAGGAAGAAAAUUAAAUUUGGAGGAGAUUUCAAUUUAGAGAUUGUUUGAUGAAGCUUUUAAUACAUGUUUUAGCAAAUUUUAAUAAAAAUUGAUAAAUU